UGCGCAGGCGGAAUAUUAAGUCAGUGGUUAAAGCCUACAGCUCAACUGUAGAACUGCCAUUGAAACUGAUAUUCUUGAGCAUAGUUGUAGUGGGCGGAAUAUAUCAUGUAGCGGUGAAAUGCUUAGAUAUGAUAUAGAACACCGAUCGCGAAGGCAGCUCACUAAGCUAUAACUGACGCUCAGGCACGAAAGCGUGGGGAGCAAACAGGAUUAGAUACCCUGGUAGUCC
rnacentral:rRNA from 1 species